UAUUGUUUUGGAAAAAAAAGAAAUUUUUUUUAUCCUCCCGCAACCGCCCGCAACCGCAAACGCUAACUGGAACCAGCUUUUGAAUUUAUGAGGUUCAGAACGAUUUGGAGCAGUUUGGAGCGAUUUGAGCGAUUGUUGCAAAACGCCAACCACCGCUACCAACCGCAAAAGCUGCGUUUGCGGGUGGUAGCGGGAAAACCAGUCAUACCCUAAGAGAAGCUUUGUUCUUCGGUUCUCGUUGACGAAUUGCGUAUUAAUCACCGGCUCUGGUGGACCAUCCCAGCAUCAUCGUUUGGGCUGUGUCCUUCUCGUUGAUGGGUCAAAAUCUUUUGCUUCUCUUUCGCAGGUAUGAGUGUGGCCUGGUAAAUUAAUUUGGAGUUUAGGGUUUAAGUUGGAUAAAACACGGGCCUGGUAAAUUUGUCGUAACUCGGUCCACGUAAAUGCGCCGUAAAUUUUCCACGUAAAUUUGUCGUAACUUUAAAAGCACGGGUCUGGUAAAUUCGUUGUAAAUGAAAAAACGUAAUUUUGUCGUAAAUGAAAAAAACGCGGGUCUGGUAACUUCGUCGUAAUUUUACGACGAGUUUAAGAGGAAUGCAUUUUCUUAUAUAUAGGCGACGUGUCAAAACGAGCUUUCAUUCAUUCCUCCCAAAUCCCUCUCCACUCCUCCAAGGUAACCUCUCCCUCUCUCUAUUUUUUUUUAAAAAGAAUUGUUUAGUUUUAGGUGGUUUGUAUAGGUAAUUAGUUUAAGUGGUUAGUAUAGAUAAUUAGUUUAAGUGGUUAAUAUAGGUAAUUAGUUAGGUAUCAGAAUAAUAUUUUUAAAUUAUAUCGUUAUUGAUAAAACUAACUGUAAUUUAAAAAAAAACUUUAGAUGGGUGAUAUGUUGUGUUUUUGGCACAUUUUAACAUUGUUUUCUAAUUGGUUUUCAAGUCUUUAUCGAGUCUUUCUAGUCCUUUUCGAGUCAUUACAGGUCUGGAGUAGGCUAAAGAGUUGAAGGAAGGUGCAUGAAGAAAGAUGUAAGAAUUGGAGUCCUUCCUGCGGAGCAAUCAUGUGGAGCAGUCAGACGGGUUAUCCCGUAGGAGCAAUCACGCGGAGCAACCAGGCAGACUGCUCCCAAAAAUUAUGGAAAGUUCUGAUUAAUUCGGGAUUUGCCCUAGCUUUUCUAUUUUCUUCUCCCAGCCGCCUGUGGCAUACAAAAACACUUUUUUCUGCUUUACUUUGACAUUCUACGCUAGUUUAUAGAGAGAAACCAGACCCGAAAACUCCAUUGUUGGAUUUGUUUAUUGUAAAGGGAGAAGGAUCUCUACACUCUUGAGAAGAAUCUUGAACCCUAUCUCUUUUAUUUUAUUGAUUCAGC
rnacentral:lncRNA from 1 species